CACAAAAAUAUCACACAAUCAACCCACAUAACUGUGGAGUAAGAAAAGCACUUCCAAAGCAGGAGAUGCAAGCUGUUUCUAAUCAGAGAUAUGGAGGCGGAGGCAGUCUCAUGUGCAGAGGAGGAAACUUUGGCUGAGGAGAGACAAAUGACAGUUUCAUGGUGUCAUAAGACUGGAAAUGUCCGAACAAAAGAAGCAUUCAGUGAGCCAAUUUUUCUUGCUUUUUUAUCAUACAUUAAGCUUUAUAUAGUGACAAGAUCUAACAUUGUGAUGUGUAAAUGCAAGCCUGUGAACAGAACAGGUUGGCCCUGUUGGCUGACAAUGGAGAGCCAAUGUAGCGUGCAAAUGAGAGGGUUUGUUGUGUUCAAAGGUGGGGUGUGUGUGAGUGAAAGUGACUCUUUACUGGUGCACUUUGUCCAGCGGUGCUUUAAUGCAGGCAUGUUUAACAUGGGCCGCAGCCAAACAAUUCAGCUCUGUUGUGUAACACUGGGAGACGGGGGGCAUUCGCUUCAGGAAGAUCCAGUUGAGAGUUGUUAGCAGAGCAGGCUUGAAAAAAAAGGCCUUUCAUCUUCAAAGGCUUAUGAUUUGUUAAAUCUCAUUAAUUGGGGUUGAUUUUGAGAGUAUGUACUGUAGUGUUCUGCAGUGUUGGUGGAUAACCAAAAUAGAAAAUCUGUUUCCAAGAAAACGAACAAUUUGAGCCCAAAACCUCACAUAAUGGAUAACUCUAUCCCAAUGAUUAUGAUGUCAUUGCGUAUAAUAUACAGUGGACUCUUAAACUACACUUAAACAGGAUUAAUGCCAAUGCUUUAGAUGAAAUAUCAGACGCAAAUGCUGCUUUUUUCCAUUUUUACUUGAUGUCUUUUAAUUUAAUGGUGUGUUGGUGUAUUUUGUCUUCAUUUUGGGCAGUGUGAUGUUAUAGUAGAUGUGUUUUUGUGCCAUCAGUUUCUAAAAUAUAGGUCACUUCUUUUGAGGUAUGUUGAAUUAAUUGAAUUUGAUGCUACUUCCUUUAUUCAUUCUCUUGUUAAUAUCCAUUUCCUUUUUACCACUUGGUUAACAAACCAACUACCAUUCAAGACUGCAUAAGACUUCACUGGUUUAAAUAUUUAUUUAUUAUAUAAAGCCAUAAAGUCAAGAGGUAAAAUAGCUAUAGAAUAGUAAAGUAAGAUAUAAAAACCUGACAUAAGUUUAGCAUACUAAAACGUGAUCUUUUUAGUACAUUUGUUCCUAUAUCAAUAGCAAAUAAAGUAUAAAUCUAUUUACAAACCAUACAGAUAAAAGAAUCUCAGAGAAAAGGAGUACAAAAUCCAACGGAGGUGAAGAAUAUUAGGAAAGUAGAACACGCGAAACAUAUAUAACAGUUCUGCCAUUUCAACAGUUGGUGUAAAAGCAAAAUGCGCUCCUGUUUAGUUGUUUCCUUUGCGUAAAAUGUACACCGUGUUCUAGCCAGUCACAAAAUGACAAGUAUCAGGAGUCAACGAUGUUCUCGACACUAAUAGCGACAUAUUUGACGAUGUUUAAUGUGCAGCCGGAUUUUGGACCAAUGAGAUUUCAUUGUGGGCGGGGCUUCCCAGCACAAUGCUGCAGCAACCAAGUGACUGACAAAAUAUUCUGUGGCUGGCUAGGACAAACACAUCCACGUGGGAAGAGCCUUUGUCACUUUAUUGCAACAUGCCUGGUUAGGAUAUGUUGUUAGCAAGAGAAAAGCAGUACCAAAGAAACAGGAAGG
rnacentral:lncRNA from 1 species